UGUUUUGAAACCCAUGUAUGCCUAUUUAUCUGCUUGCGCAUCAGUGUUAUGAUUUAAGCUGUGCAUUGGAACCUCUCUGAAAGAAGCUGUGCCAUUAAAGUUAUCCCUUGAGAGAAUCUUUGCAAGUGGGAUGAGCAUUCAAUGAGUCGAACAGUAAUCAAACAAUGAGUCGAACAGUAAUCAAUCUACCAUUAUCUAUAUUCAAAUGAAAACAAUGCAAUUCACUGCGAUUUAAGAGAUUAUUAUAUGGAUAUCAUCACUCUUAUAGCCUAUGUUUUGCUUAUGUAUAUAAAUUGUUUAUAAAUAUUUAAGUUGAUUUUAUUCAAUAUUUCCUGUGAUCUGCAAG
rnacentral:lncRNA from 1 species